CGCGAGCACUUGUGCUCGAGUGGCGAACGGGUGAGUAAUACAUAAGUAACCUGCCCUAGACAGGGGGAUAACUAUUGGAAACGAUAGCUAAGACCGCAUAGGUACGGACACUGCAUGGUGACCGUAUUAAAAGUGCCUCAAAGCACUGGUAGAGGAUGGACUUAUGGCGCAUUAGCUGGUUGGCGGGGUAACGGCCCACCAAGGCGACGAUGCGUAGCCGACCUGAGAGGGUGACCGGCCACACUGGGACUGAGACACGGCCCAGACUCCUACGGGAGGCAGCAGUAGGGAAUUUUCGGCAAUGGGGGAAACCCUGACCGAGCAACGCCGCGUGAAGGAAGAAGGUUUUCGGAUUGUAAACUUCUGUUAUAAAGGAAGAACGGCGGCUACAGGAAAUGGUAGCCGAGUGACGGUACUUUAUUAGAAAGCCACGGCUAACUACGUGCCAGCAGCCGCGGUAAUACGUAGGUGGCAAGCGUUAUCCGGAAUUAUUGGGCGUAAAGAGGGAGCAGGCGGCAGCAAGGGUCUGUGGUGAAAGCCUGAAGCUUAACUUCAGUAAGCCAUAGAAACCAGGCAGCUAGAGUGCAGGAGAGGAUCGUGGAAUUCCAUGUGUAGCGGUGAAAUGCGUAGAUAUAUGGAGGAACACCAGUGGCGAAGGCGACGAUCUGGCCUGCAACUGACGCUCAGUCCCGAAAGCGUGGGGAGCAA
rnacentral:rRNA from 1 species